rnacentral:rRNA from 1 species
UACGUAGGGCGCAAGCGUUGUCCGGAUUUAUUGGGCGUAAAGCGCUCGCAGGUGGUUCGUCGCGUCGUGCGUGAAAGACCCCGGCUCAACUGGGGGAGGUCGUGCGAUACGGGCGAACUGGAGGCCAGUAGGGGGAUGCGGAAUUCCGGGUGUAGUGGUGGAAUGCGUAGAGAUCCGGAGGAACACCAGCGGCGAAGGCGGCAUCCUGGACUGGUCCUGACACUCAUGAGCGAAAGCGUGGGGAGCGAUCCGG